GUGGGGAAUAUUGGACAAUGGGCGAAAGCCUGACGCAGCCAUGCCGCGUGAAUGAUGAAGGUCUUAGGAUUGUAAAAUUCUUUCACCGGGGACGAUAAUGACGGUACCCGGAGAAGAAGCCCCGGCUAACUUCGUGCCAGCAGCCGCGGUAAUACGAAGGGGGCUAGCGUUGCUCGGAAUUACUGGGCGUAAAGGGCGCGUAGGCGGACAGUUUAGUCAGAGGUGAAAGCCCAGGGCUCAACCUUGGAAUUGCCUUUGAUACUGGCUGUCUUGAGUACGGGAGAGGUGAGUGGAACUCCGAGUGUAGAGGUGAAAUUCGUAGAUAUUCGGAAGAACACCAGUGGCGAAGGCGACUCACUGGCCCGUUACUGACGCUGAGGCGCGAAAGCGUGGGGAGCAAACAGGAUUAGAAACCCGUGUAGUCC
rnacentral:rRNA from 1 species